CAAUCUGCCCCUAUCUGGGAGAUAGCCCUCCGAAAGGAGGAUUAAUACCCCAUAACAUUGCGGGACGGCAUCGCCCUGCAAUUAAAGCUUCGGCGGAUAGGGAUGAGCAUGCGUUCGAUUAGCUUGUUGGCGGGGUAACGGCCCACCAAGGCAACGAUCGAUAGCUGGUCUGAGAGGAUGAUCAGUCACACGGGCACUGAGACACGGGCCCG
rnacentral:rRNA from 1 species